rnacentral:rRNA from 1 species
UACGAAGGGGGCUAGCGUUGCUCGGAAUCACUGGGCGUAAAGCGCACGUAGGCGGCUUUUUAAGUCAGAGGUGAAAUCCUGGAGCUCAACUCCAGAACUGCCUUUGAUACUGGAGAGCUUGAGUCCGGGAGAGGUGAGUGGAACUGCGAGUGUAGAGGUGAAAUUCGUAGAUAUUCGCAAGAACACCAGUGGCGAAGGCGGUUCACUGGCCCGGUACUGACGCUGAGGUGCGAAAGCGUGGGGAGCAAACAGG